rnacentral:rRNA from 1 species
AGUGAACGCUGGCGGUAGGCCUAACACAUGCAAGUCGAACGGCAGCACAGAGGAGCUUGCUCCUUGGGUGGCGAGUGGCGGACGGGUGAGGAAUACAUCGGAAUCUACUCUGUCGUGGGGGAUAACGUAGGGAAACUUACGCUAAUACCGCAUACGACCUACGGGUGAAAGCAGGGGAUCUUCGGACCUUGCGUGAUUGAAUGAGCCGAUGUCGGAUUAGCUAGUUGGCGGGGUAAAGGCCCACCAAGGCGACGAUCCGUAGCUGGUCUGAGAGGAUGAUCAGCCACACUGGAACUGAGACACGGUCCAGACUCCUACGGGAGGCAGCAGUGGGGAAUAUUGGACAAUGGGCGCAAGCCUGAUCCAGCCAUACCGCGUGGGUGAAGAAGGCCUUCGGGUUGUAAAGCCCUUUUGUUGGGAAAGAAAUCCAGCCGGCUAAUACCUGGUUGGGAUGACGGUACCCAAAGAAUAAGCACCGGCUAACUUCGUGCCAGCAGCCGCGGUAAUACGAAGGGUGCAAGCGUUACUCGGAAUUACUGGGCGUAAAGCGUGCGUAGGUGGUUAUUUAAGUCCGUUGUGAAAGCCCUGGGCUCAACCUGGGAACUGCAGUGGAUACUGGAUGACUAGAAUGUGGUAGAGGGUAGCGGAAUUCCUGGUGUAGCAGUGAAAUGCGUAGAGAUCAGGAGGAACAUCCAUGGCGAAGGCAGCUACCUGGACCAACAUUGACACUGAGGCACGAAAGCGUGGGGAGCAAACAGG